GAAAGAAGAAUUCCAGAAUAAAUCUAAGAGGAUUAUUCAUUAAAUUUGUGAAACCAAACGUUAGCCACCAUGAAGAUGCCACUAUCAACACUUCUGCUGUUACUACCGUCGAGCCCCGAGAAGACAUAACUUUAGUUCAGGACGGACCAGUAUUACUGUUACCUAUCGGUAAAACGGCUGACUGCCUUAGUUCAUGCUGCUGCUAUGUCUUCUGUAAUUAUAUAUUACAACGGUUAUUUGCGGACGUGAUUGCCGCAAUUUUUCUGCUGAGUCAUCAGACAUAUAGCGCUACAUGUAGCCAUCACGAACAGAACACAUUUAAACUCAUAUUGGAUACGUGCAUAAAUUGGAUGAUUAAUAAAUGCCUCAAAGACUUCC